rnacentral:rRNA from 1 species
CCGCGGUAUCCUAACCGUGCGAAGGUAGCGUAAUCACUUGUUCUUUAAAUGAGGACUAGUAUGAAUGGCACCACGAAGGUUAUACUGUCUCCUUUUUCUAAUCAGUGAAACUAAUCUUCCCGUGAAGAAGCGGGGAUAAAAAUAUAAGACGAGAAGACCCUAUGGAGCUUUAAACAAAUAUACAAUUGCCUCCUCUAGUAAAAAUUUCAGAAAAGACAUUUCUAUUUGGGCACUUUGAUAUAAAGUUUUAGGUUGGGGUGACCACGGAGUAAAAAACAACCUCCGCAGUGAAAGGGGCUUUCCCCUAAGCCAAGGGCUACAACCCUAAGAAUCAAUAAAUUGACACUAAUUGACCCAAUUAAUUGAUCAAUGAACCAAGUUACCCUAGGGAUAACAGCGCAAUCCACUUCAAGAGCCCCUAUCGACAAGUGGGUUUACGACCUCGAUGUUGGAUCAGGGUAUCCUAGUGGUGCAGCCGCUACUAACGGUUCGUUUGUUCAACGAUUAAAACCCUACGUGAUCUGAGUUCAGACCGGA